rnacentral:rRNA from 1 species
UACGAAGGGUGCAAACGUUGCUCGGAAUUAUUGGGGCGUAAAGCGCACGUAGGCGGCUUUUCAAGUCCCAUGUGAAAGCCCACGGCUUAACCGUGGAAGUGCAUGGGAAACUGGAAGCUUGAGUACUUAAGAGGAUCGCGGAAUUCCCGGUGUAGAGGUGAAAUUCGUAGAUAUCGGGAGGAACACCAGUGGCGAAGGCGGCGAUCUGGGAAGAUACUGACGCUGAGGUGCGAAAGCGUGGGGAGCAAACAGG